rnacentral:rRNA from 1 species
AGGUCCUGCCUGCCCAGUGACUAUGUUAAACGGCCGCGGUAUUUUGACCGUGCAAAGGUAGCGCAAUCACUUGUCUUUUAAAUGAAGACCUGUAUGAAUGGUGGAACGAGGGCCUAACUGUCUCCCUUUUCUAGUCAAUGAAAUUGAUCUGCCCGUGCAGAAGCGGGUAUAUAAAUACAAGACGAGAAGACCCUUUGGAGCUUGAGAUUAAAAAUCAACUAUGUCAAAUAUUCAUUAAAUAGAACUGAAUAGUGUCUGAUAGUAAUCUUCGGUUGGGGCGACCACGGAAUAAAAACAAACUUCCACAUGGACUGAGGACUAACCUUAAAACCAAGAAAGACAUUUCUAAGUCACAGAAUUUCUGACCACACAGAUCCGGCAAAUUGCCGAUCAAUGGACCAAGUUACCCUAGGGAUAACAGCGCAAUCCCCUUUUAGAGUCCCUAUCGACAAGGGGGUUUACGACCUCGAUGUUGGAUCAGGAC